rnacentral:tRNA from 1 species
AAAAAUUUAGUUAAUAAAUAACAUUAGUUUGUCAAACUAAAAUAAAUCUUAGAUUAAUUUUUA